rnacentral:rRNA from 1 species
CCUACGGGAGGCAGCAGUGAGGAAUAUUGGUCAAUGGCCGGAAGGCUGAACCAGCCAUGCCGCGUGAAGGUCAGUGCCCUAUGGGCGUUAAACUUCUUUUGUGCGGGAGCAAUAAUGGUCACGUGUGGCCAGACGAGAGUACCGUACGAAUAAGCAUCGGCUAACUCCGUGCCAGCAGCCGCGGUAAUACGGGGGAUGCAAGCGUUAUCCGGAUUUAUUGGGUUUAAAGGGUGCGUAGGCUGUGAGGUAAGUCAGCGGUGAAAUGCUCUCGCUCAACGGGGUGAAGUGCCAUUGAUACUGCCUGGCUGGAAUGCGGAUGCCGUGGGAGGAAUGUGUGGUGUAGCGGUGAAAUGCAUAGAUAUCACACAGAACACCGAUUGCGAAGGCAUCUCACGAAUCCGCGAUUGACGCUGAUGCACGAAAGCGUGGGUAUCAAACAGGAUUAGAUACCCGAGUAGUC